rnacentral:rRNA from 1 species
UACAGAGGUCCCGAGCGUUGUUCGGAUUCACUGGGCGUAAAGGGUGCGUAGGUGGUUGGGUAAGUCUGAUGUGAAAUCUCCGGGCUCAACCCGGAAAUGGCAUUGGAUACUAUUCGGCUAGAGGUUUGGAGGGGGGGACUGGAAUUCUCGGUGUAGCAGUGAAAUGCGUAGAUAUCGAGAGGAACACCAGUGGCGAAGGCGGUCUGCUGGGCCGUUGCUGACGCUGAGGCGCGACAGCGUGGGGAGCAAACAGG